UGAUAACUAAACCUACAUCGCACAUACACCGUCACAUAGAUUGGGGUGCUCUAGCUUUGAGUCAAUCUAUGGGGUGUAUGGAGGACUAAC
rnacentral:sRNA from 1 species